rnacentral:misc_RNA from 1 species
UGUGGGAGUUCUAAACCCAAAGAGUCAAGGGCAGAAAAUGCUGCUGGAAUCAGUGAGGGUUCUAAACCACAUGAGAAAGUGAAUGGGCAUGUGGAUGUGGAAGCUGGGAAAGGAGGUGUGCCAGUGUCGAAGCCAGAUGCGACAAAAUCUAAGGUGCCAGGAAGUAUUGCAAGUAGCAAGAGACGGAGGAAGUCAGUAGUGGAAUCCAGUGAGAAUUUUGACAA